rnacentral:hammerhead_ribozyme from 1 species
GCACUGCUGACGAAUCCCAAACAGGACGAAACAGUUGUCCAUUGC